GACGUAGGGCGCGAGCGUUGUCCGGAUUUAUUGGGCGUAAAGAGCUCGUAGGCGGCUUGUCGCGUCGACUGUGAAAACCCGCGGCUCAACCGUGUGGUCUGCAGUCGAUACGGGCAGGCUAGAGUUCGGUAGGGGAGACUGGAAUUCCUGGUGUAGCGGUGAAAUGCGCAGAUAUCGAGAGGAACACCAGUGGCGAAGGCGAGUCCCUGGACAACACCUGACACUGAGGCACGAAAGCUAGGGGAGCAAACAGG
rnacentral:rRNA from 1 species